UAGGGAAUCUUCCACAAUGGACGCAAGUCUGAUGGAGCAACGCCGCGUGAGUGAAGAAGGUUUUCGGACCGUAAAGCUCUGUUGUUGGUGAAGAAGGAUAGAGGUAGUAACUGGCCUUUAUUUGACGGUAAUCAACCAGAAAGUCACGGCUAACUACGUGCCAGCAGCCGCGGUAAUACGUAGGUGGCAAGCGUUGUCCGGAUUUAUUGGGCGUAAAGCGAGCGCAGGCGGAAGAAUAAGUCUGAUGUGAAAGCCCUCGGCUUAACCGAGGAAUUGCAUCGGAAACUGUUUUUCUUGAGUGCAGAAGAGGAGAGUAGAACUCCAUGUGUAGCGGUGGAAUGCGUAGAUAUGUGGAAGAAUACCAGUGGCGAAGGCGGCUCUCUGGUCUGCAACUGACGCUGAGGCUCGAAAGCAUGGGUAGCGAACAGGAUUAGAUACCCUGGUAGUCCAUGCCGUAAACGAUGAGUGCUAAGUGUUGGGAGGCUUCCGCCUCUCAGUGCUGCAGCUAACGCAUUAAGCACUCCGCCUGGGGGAGUACGACCGCAAGGUUGAAAC
rnacentral:rRNA from 1 species